rnacentral:rRNA from 1 species
AUUGAACGCUGCGGCAGGCUUAACACAUGCAAGUCGAGCGAGCGGCGGACGGGUGAGUAAUGCUUAGGCAUCUGCCUAUUAGUGGGGGACAACAUCCCGCAGGGGAUGAUAAUACCGAAUACUAAUCCAUGAGCCUAAGUCGGAUUGGCUAGUUGGUGGGGUAAAGGCCUAACAAGGCGACGAUCUGUAGCGGGUCUGAGAGGAUGAUCCGCCACACUGGGACUGAGACACGGCCCAGACUCCUACGGGAGGCAGCAGUGGGGAAUAUUGGGCAAUGGGGGGAAGCCUGAUGCAGCAAUGCCGCGUGUGUGAAGAAGGCCUUCUGGUUGUAAAGCUCUGUUAGCGAGGAGGCGUUACCCGCAGAAAAAGCACCGGCUAACUAUGUGCCAGCAGCCGCGGUAAUAC